rnacentral:rRNA from 1 species
GACGAACGCUGGCGGCGUGCUUAACACAUGCAAGUCGAGCGGUAAGGCCCUUUCGGGGGUACACGAGCGGCGAACGGGUGAGUAACACGUGGGUGACCUGCCUUUAGCUCUGGGAUAAGCCUGGGAAACCGGGUCUAAUACCGGAUAUGACUCCGCGGCGCAUGUUGUGGGGUGGAAAGCCUUGUGCGGCUGGAGAUGGGCCCGCGGCCUAUCAGCUUGUUGGUGGGGUGAUGGCCUACCAAGGCGACGACGGGUAGCCGGCCUGAGAGGGCGACCGGCCACACUGGGACUGAGACAUGGCCCAGACUCCUACGGGAGGCAGCAGUGGGGAAUCUUGCGCAAUGGGCGAAAGCCUGACGCAGCGACGCCGCGUGAGGGAUGACGGCCUGU